rnacentral:rRNA from 1 species
GCGUGGAUGAUGAAGGCCUUAGGGUUGUAAAGUCCUUUCGACGGGGAAGAUAAUGACGGUACCCGUAGAAGAAGCCCCGGCUAACUCCGUGCCAGCAGCCGCGGUAAUACGGAGGGGGCUAGCGUUGUUCGGAAUUACUGGGCGUAAAGCGCGCGUAGGCGGUUUUGUAAGUCAGAGGUGAAAUCCCGGAGCUCAACUUCGGAAUGGCCUUUGAGACUGCAAGGCUUGAGGACGGGAGAGGUGAGUGGAAUUCCCAGUGUAGAGGUGAAAUUCGU